UACGUAGGAGACGAGCGUUGUCCGGAGUUACUGGGCGUAAAGGGUGCGCAGGUGGCGGCGCGCGUGGGGGGGUGAAAUCGCCCGGCUUAACUGGGCGGGGGGCCUUCCAGACGGCGUGGCUUGAGCAGCGGAGGGGGACGUGGAAUUCCUGGUGUAGCGGUGAAAUGCGCAGAUAUCAGGAGGAACACCGGUGGCGAAGGCGGGUCUCUGGGCCGUAACUGACGCUGAGGAGCGAAAGCGUGGGGAGCGAACAGG
rnacentral:rRNA from 1 species